rfam:Burkholderiales bacterium RIFCSPHIGHO2_12_FTLL_61_11 rifcsphigho2_12_scaffold_11399, whole genome shotgun sequence.
UCGCAUCCGCUAAUCGGUUCAGCCGUGUUGCGGAAGGUUAAUAAACCAGCUUUAACCAGCUAAUGUUUCCCCAAGGGAAACGAAAGUAAGCG